GAUGAACGCUGGCGGCGUGCCUAAUACAUGCAAGUCGAGCGAACGGACGAGAAGCUUGCUUCUCUGAUGUUAGCGGCGGACGGGUGAGUAACACGUGGAUAACCUACCUAUAAGACUGGGAUAACUUCGGGAAACCGGAGCUAAUACCGGAUAAUAUUUUGAACCGCAUGGUUCAAAAGUGAAAGACGGUCUUGCUGUCACUUAUAGAUGGAUCCGCGCUGCAUUAGCUAGUUGGUAAGGUAACGACUUACCAAGGCAACGAUGCAUAGCCGACCUGAGAGGGUGAUCGGCCACACUGGAACUGAGACACGGUCCAGACUCCUGCGGGAGGCAGCAGUAGGGAAUCUUCCGCAAUGGGCGAAAGCCUGACGGAGCAACGCCGCGUGAGUGAUGAAGGUCUUCGGAUCGUAAAACUCUGUUAUUAGGGAAGAACAUAUGUGUAAGUAACUGUGCACAUCUUGACGGUACCUAAUCAGAAAGCCACGGCUAACUACGUG
rnacentral:rRNA from 1 species